rnacentral:rRNA from 1 species
UGGUUCAGAACGAAUGCUGGAGGCAGGCCUAACACAUGCAAGUCGAACGCUCGUAGCAAUACGAGAGUGGCAGACGGGUGAGUAACACGUGGGAACCUUCCCUAUGGUUCGGAAUAGCCCAGGGAAACUUGGGGUAAUACCGGAUAAGCCCUUACGGGGAAAGAUUUAUCGCCAUUGGAUGGGCCCGCGUCGGAUUAGCUAGUUGGUGAGGUAACGGCUCACCAAGGCGAGGGUCAGUAGCUGGUCUGAGAGGAUGAUCAGCCACACUGGGACUUUAUCACGGCCCANAGAAAUACGGGAGGC